AUUGAACGCUGGCGGCAUGCCUUACACAUGCAAGUCGAACGGGGUGAUGGUGCUUGCACUAUCACUUAGCGGCGGACGGGUGAGUAAUGCUUAGGAAUCUGCCUAUUAGUGGGGGACAACAUCUCGAAAGGGAUGCUAAUACCGCAUACGUCCUACGGGAGAAAGCAGGGGAUCACUUGUGACCUUGCGCUAAUAGAUGAGCCUAAGUCGGAUUAGCUAGUUGGUGGGGUAAAGGCCUACCAAGGCGACGAUCUGUAGCGGGUCUGAGAGGAUGAUCCGCCACACUGGGACUGAGACACGGCCCAGACUCCUACGGGAGGUAGCAGUGGGGAAUAUUGGACAAUGGGGGGAACCCUGAUCCAGCCAUGCCGCGUGUGUGAAGAAGGCCUUAUGGUUGUAAAGCACUUUAAGCGAGGAGGAGGCUCUUUUGGUUAAUACCCAAGAUGAGUGGACGUUACUCGCAGAAUAAGCACCGGCUAACUCUGUGCCAGCAGCCGCCGUAA
rnacentral:rRNA from 1 species